UACAGAGGUCUCAAGCGUUGUUCGGAUUCAUUGGGCGUAAAGGGUGCGUAGGCGGCGCGGUAAGUCGGGUGUGAAAUCUCGGAGCUUAACUCCGAAACUGCAUUCGAUACUGCGGUGCCUGAGGACUGGAGAGGAGACUGGAAUUCAUGGUGUAGCAGUGAAAUGCGUAGAGAUCAUGAGGAAGACCAGUGGCGAAGGCGGGUCUCUGGACAGUUCCUGACACUGAGGCACGAAGGCCAGGGGAGCAAACGGG
rnacentral:rRNA from 1 species